CCUCCAAUAUUUAAUUUCUUUAUUUUGUAAUCCAUAGUCUGUAGCUAUUCCUUUCCCUGUCAUAGAAAUAAAUGAGCAAUGGACUGCUUUAAGUCCAGUCAUGCUUCAGGGUGCAAAAAUCUGAGUUCAGAGUGCUCCACAGAAGACUUCUCUACACAGAAAGCUUUAGAUGCGUUGCAUGCACAGACCUCUCUGUGACUUAAGCAUAAGGAAAGAUGCUCAUACUGUGAAGUCUGGUGAGAUCACAGAUCAGUUGUGACCGGAGCUGCCUUGCAUUAGGAAGCUAUCAGGCCGGUAAGCAAGGGCAACAGGAUCCAGACUCGAAGCUCAUGUUUGUGUGUUGAAAUAGUCCAAGGACACGCUGCAAUGAUUGGCAGCCCAGCCCGCCUCUCACGUCGAGCAAGUUCCGUUUGUGGGGUGGGCACAGGUGGAGACAGAGCAGUUAGGCACUGAUGGCUUCUGUCUGCUGAAGGAUUAGUUCCUGUAGGAGGAUUCUGUCUUCUGUGUGCUCAAGGCUGAUGCUGAAAGGCACUGCCUCAUCAUUUAAUCAGACGGCCGGUCCCUGGUGGCAAACUGAAGGAAAAAUAAGCCGCAUCUGCCCGGCUUCGCCUUGCUGGGACCAGCGGGUCAAAAUCCCCCUAUGCCGUGCCGGCCCGGUGAAGGAGCUCUCGAGGAAUGAGACGCUGACGGGCCGAAGGCAGCCCAAAAGCCGCCGAACCUCUUUGCUGGGAGGAGGCGGCGGACGCGUGGGAGGCGAAACCCGGCGGAGCGCUGCUGCCCGUGCCCGGGGCCGUGCCCGCUGUCGNGUACGUCCCCCUAUGGAUA
rnacentral:lncRNA from 1 species